GAAUUUUCAACUUUAAAUCUCCAUUUUUAAGGCUAAAAGGUACAUACUUUCAACUCUUGGACUUUAUGAAUUUAUGGCUUAUAUUUUCAGAUUUUAUUUCCUACUUUCUUCAAAUUCUUUUUCUUGAAAAUAUUAGGUUUUUGUUGAUGUUUAUGCCUCCAAGCUCACCAAGGUAAAAAACCUUUAAAUUGGAAUAGUUGAUAUGAUGGGUUUGAGAAUUAGACUAGAAUUCUAGGUUAAAAAAAAUUAGGCUAGAAUGUAGUUUAUCAAGAGUAUGGUUAUUAGAAUUAUUAAGUUUAAAUUUAUGAUAUAUUUGAAGCUAUUAUUGUUUAUUGGCAAUUAUAGGUUUUAAUGGUAUUUCGGGACUACCUGGAUUAAGAUCUUGUGGAUGUUAGUCUUGUUAAGUGGCAUUGUUAAGGUGAGUAACUUGCAUUUUAUUUGAUUUUUUUUCUCUAAAUCAUGCUUAGGAACAAGCCCUUGAUGAAACAUUUUAUGUUGUAAAAUGUGUAAUGUGAUGAACCCAUGUGUCCAUAUAUUCUGAUGAUAUAUAUGUUUGCUUUGAAUGAUAAUAUUGUGUGAUAAUUGUAACCACGCGUGAGCAGUGUGGGAGUGCACAUGCCUGUGAUGAUGGGUGAUUCCAGCUAUGUGCAGUGUGGGAGUGCACAGGAGCUGAUUACCGGUGGAUGAUGAUUCUAGCUAUGUGCGGUGUGGGAGUGCACAUGAGCUAAUGAGUUGGUGGUUGUAUACAUGUUUACACAUACCAUAGAAAUGUUAGAGAAAAUAUUAUGUGAUUGCAAUGAAUGUUCAAUGUUGAAAUUGCUAAUUGUUUCCAAAUUGAUUUUCAAUGCAACGAAAAAAAAAACUCUCUAUCUUGCUUGUCUUGCUCGAAUAUUUACUGUGGUUUUCACUUUUUGAUUUCAUUAUGGAUCAUGGAUCCUUUAACACUAAGGGAUUAAAUAAUCAAAGGUCGAAUUGAGGGGUUUUACGACGAAUUAAACUAAAUUGCAUUGUUUUUAACAUAAGUGCAUCAUGAUUUCUAAACUUUCCUUAUCAUUUGCUUGUUCCCUUCCUGUGUUCACUCACUGGGUUUAUUGUCAAGCCCAACUUUACAAUAUGUUUAUUAUGUCAUUCCUACAUAAGAAUGCAUGUUUGCUUACUUGGGUACCUUGAAAAUCGUUAAGGACGAUAUUGUACCAAAUGGUACAAUUAAGUUGAAUUAAGCCUCGAACUAGUCCAAAUAGAGAUUUUAAGAUGAAAUUGAGAAUUUUAAAAUCCCAAAAUGACUUAAAAAUGGUGAUUCAGAGUUCGAGGACCGAUUUGGAGUCAAAUUGGAAUUUUCAUGACCUAGGGGUAAAAUGGUCAUUUUGCCACCCGAGGUUAAGAUGUGAGUGUUGGAUGACAUUUUUGACUAAGAUUGAUCAUUUGGAGUAUAAUUUGAGUUUGAGAAGUGAAAAAUUUUAAUUCCGGCAUUUUUCGAGCAUAAAGGGUAAAAUAGUCAUUUUGUCACCCUAGGGGCAAAAUUGGAAUUUUUCACCACUCAACACUUGUCCAGCACAUGAAUUUCACCCAUUAUUAUUAUGGAUAAUUGAGGAAUUUUAUGUGGUGGAGAAAGAAAGCUUAAUAGUUAAGAAUUUAAAAAUGGACCAAUGGUAAGGUGACAAGUGUCAAGAUUUUAUUUCUUUAUUAUUUUCCUUAUAAAUUAGCACAAAACCAGCCCAUUUCUCUUCAUUAUGGUCACCCUCACCAAGGAGAAGUAAGAAAAAGGAAGAAAAAACCCUAGGUGGAAAAAUUCAAGGGAAAAGUGUGAAAAUUCAAGGAAACAAGUGAAAAAGGUAAGAUUUUUUCAAUUUAAGCUUGAGAUCUCUCUUUCGUAAGCAUUUUUUCUUAUUUGCCAUGGUUGAAUCACAUGAAAUCAUGAUGAAUCUCUUGCUGGCGGAACACUUAGAGAGAGAUUUUGAUGGUUGUUUUGGUUAGAUUUUAAGAUAUUCUAGUGUUUUUAGUUGAUUGGUGAUGUGUAGCAUGAAAAUCAAGCAAGAAAAAUUCAUGUUCUUCCAUAAGGCUCAUUGCCCGAAUUCUCCAUGUGGAAUAUUGAUGAUGAUUUUGAUUUUAUUUCAAGUGAAUUGAUUAAGAAAUGAUGAAUUACGGUGAGAAAAUCAAGUAGGAAAAAUCAUAGUAUUGAUGCACCCACCAUGGCCGAAAUUCCCAAGAGAAAAUGUGAAGAUGAUUUUGCUAAAUUUUAUGCUAUUUGACUUGUGUUUGAUGGUUUCGAGAAUUGGAAGAAAAAUAGAGUUAAUUGGAGUUGAAUUGGACAUAUUGGCCAAUUAAUCGAGUGAUAGAUCGAAUUAGGCUAAUACCGUUUUAUUUAGGUACACAAUUAAAUUUGUGUAGAACACCGUCUUUAGACGAUAAUCCGAACAAUUUGCAUUCCAUUUCAGCAUUAGUAUAGAGCUUGAAUUGGCUUUAUAACAAUUUAGCACAAAUGUUGUAAAUGGCUUAUUGUGCAUUAUGUCUAGGUGGUGAGCAUUCUGGAAAAAGUAAAGAGAUAGUACCCGAGGAUCAAGAAUUGGAGUACUCUGAACUCGAUUCCCAUUAUAGUGAGUAACCUUACUAUCAUCUUAAUUAUCUAAAGUGGUUUUUAUUCGAUUUUGUGAUUUUAUGGAAAAUUAGUUAAAUGGUAAAUCUUUGUGUUUUGUAAUUAAAAUGUGAUUUAAUGAAAUGAUUUUAUAACAUUGUCUUGAAAUUGAAUGAUGGUUUGAAAAUAGAGUAAUUAGAGACUGUUUUCAUGUGUUGUAAAUUCAUAGUUUGAAUCGAAUGGCUUAUGACAAUAUUUGCAUGAAUGGCUGAAUUGAUAUUGUGUUGAAAUAUAUGAACUAUGUAUUUAGCCUUAAGAGGUUGAAUUGUGAUAUAAUUGUCAUGUCAUGCGGUUGAGAUUUUAUUGAAUUGGUGGGUUUAGCUUGCUGCAGUGGGCGGGUUUCGUGGACUAGCCUAUUAGAGGAGCACGGUAACCCUGUUAUAUUCUUACCUCGGUCGAAGAGGCGUGUAGGGUAACUCUCGAGGUACAACUUUAGAGUUCACUUCACGCCAAAUCACCAUGUGAGGAUGAACCCAGCCAAUGCCAAGGAACGGCUAUGUUUUCAAAAUAAAAACAUGAUUUAUGCGUACAUGACUUUUUAACAGCCUUAAACGGACUCGGUUGGGAUAGCCCUAAGCUAAGGUAUCUCUGACAACCGAGUGUGAGAAUGAUUUUGGCACGAGCCAAAGUUUUCAGAAAUUCAUAAGCCAUGUUGAUUACUCGAUUUAUAUGAAUUGAUUUUAUUUGGUUGAAAUGAGUUGAAAGUUGAUGAAUUACAAUAUGAUAAUCUAUUUUAAUCUGUCUCCAUUUACUCGACUUUAGAUAUUUUAGAUAUUAUUUGUUUACUCACUGGGAUUAUAUAUUCUCACCACCCUCUUUUUCACCCAUUUCAGGCUCAAGAUAGUCAGUAGACAGCUCAUUUCGUUGAGGGCUACAGUUGGACUUGCAUCCUCAAAAACUGUAAGUUUAUUGCUUUUAAUACUUUUGGUCGUUCGUGGGCCCACAUGUCACUGUAAAUUAAAUCUUAUGCUUUGGUUAUCUGUAGUACAGUAUGUAUGAAUUUAUUUAGCUUUUAAGCUACAAAAAUUAUUUACUGGUAACUCUAUAAAUAUUAUUUUAUAAGAAAAUAGAAUAUUUUAUUGAAUAUUUUUAUUAUAUUCAAAUAGUUAUAGUUUCGCUUUAAAUGAAUGUUUUAGACAUCUAAACUUAUUUUUG
rnacentral:lncRNA from 1 species